CAAACCUAUAGCAGUCCUCUGAUCACAGGCUUGAGCAACUGUACCAUAUUGAUAAUCUGUAGUAAAAGAACAUCAGCGUUAGGGUUAAAACUGACUGUACAUAUCUCAUUUGGUUUUAAAUGUGGUUUCUGAUCAACAUUGUAACUGUACAUGA